rnacentral:rRNA from 1 species
CAGUAGCCGCGGUAAUACGAAGGGUGCAAGCGUUAAUCGGAAUUACUGGGCGUAAAGCGUGCGUAGGCGGUGAGUUAAGUCUGCUGUGAAAUCCCCGGGCUCAACCUGGGAAUGGCAGUGGAUACUGGCUCGCUAGAGUGUGUCAGAGGAUGGUGGAAUUCCCGGUGUAGCGGUGAAAUGCGUAGAGAUCGGGAGGAACAUCAGUGGCGAAGGCGGCCAUCAGGGACAACACUGACGCUGAGGCACGAAAGCGUGGGGAGCAAACAGGAUUAGAUACCCCCGUAGUCCCUGUCUCUUAUAA